CUGUGAGCUCGAUGAGUAGGGCGGGACACGUGGUAUCCUGUCUGAAUAUGGGGGGACCAUCCUCCAAGGCUAAAUACUCCUGACUGACCGAUAGUGAACCAGUACCGUGAGGGAAAGGCGAAAAGAACCCCGGCGAGGGGAGUGAAAAAGAACCUGAAACCGUGUACGUACAAGCAGUGGGAGCACGCUUAGGCGUGUGACUGCGUACCUUUUGUAUAAUGGGUCAGCGACUUAUAUUCUGUAGCAAGGUUAACCGAAUAGGGGAGCCGAAGGGAAACCGAGUCUUAACUGGGCGUUAAGUUGCAGGGUAUAGACCCGAAACCCGGUGAUCUAGCCAUGGGCAGGUUGAAGGUUGGGUAACACUAACUGGAGGACCGAACCGACUAAUGUUGAAAAAUUAGCGGAUGACUUGUGGCUGGGGGUGAAAGGCCAAUCAAACCGGGAGAUAGCUGGUUCUCCCCGAAAGCUAUUUAGGUAGCGCCUCGUGAAUUCAUCUCCGGGGGUAGAGCACUGUUUCGGCAAGGGGGUCAUCCCGACUUACCAACCCGAUGCAAACUGCGAAUACCGGAGAAUGUUAUCACGGGAGACACACGGCGGGUGCUAACGUCCGUCGUGAAGAGGGAAACAACCCAGACCGCCAGCUAAGGUCCCAAAGUCAUGGUUAAGUGGGAAACGAUGUGGGAAGGCCCAGACAGCCAGGAUGUUGGCUUAGAAGCAGCCAUCAUUUAAAGAAAGCGUAAUAGCUCACUGGUCGAGUCGGCCUGCGCGGAAGAUGUAACGGGGCUAAACCAUGCACCGAAGCUGCGGCAGCGACGCUUAUGCGUUGUUGGGUAGGGGAGCGUUCUGUAAGCCUGCGAAGGUGUGCUGUGAGGCAUGCUGGAGGUAUCAGAAGUGCGAAUGCUGACAUAAGUAACGAUAAAGCGGGUGAAAAGCCCGCUCGCCGGAAGACCAAGGGUUCCUGUCCAACGUUAAUCGGGGCAGGGUGAGUCGACCCCUAAGGCGAGGCCGAAAGGCGUAGUCGAUGGGAAACAGGUUAAUAUUCCUGUACUUGGUGUUACUGCGAAGGGGGGACGGAGAAGGCUAUGUUGGCCGGGCGACGGUUGUCCCGGUUUAAGCGUGUAGGCUGGUUUUCCAGGCAAAUCCGGAAAAUCAAGGCUGAGGCGUGAUGACGAGGCACUACGGUGCUGAAGCAACAAAUGCCCUGCUUCCAGGAAAAGCCUCUAAGCAUCAGGUAACAUCAAAUCGUACCCCAAACCGACACAGGUGGUCAGGUAGAGAAUACCAAGGCGCUUGAGAGAACUCGGGUGAAGGAACUAGGCAAAAUGGUGCCGUAACUUCGGGAGAAGGCACGCUGAUAUGUAGGUGAAGUCCCUCGCGGAUGGAGCUGAAAUCAGUCGAAGAUACCAGCUGGCUGCAACUGUUUAUUAAAAACACAGCACUGUGCAAACACGAAAGUGGACGUAUACGGUGUGACGCCUGCCCGGUGCCGGAAGGUUAAUUGAUGGGGUCAGCGCAAGCGAAGCUCUUGAUCGAAGCCCCGGUAAACGGCGGCCGUAACUAUAACGGUCCUAAGGUAGCGAAAUUCCUUGUCGGGUAAGUUCCGACCUGCACGAAUGGCGUAAUGAUGGCCAGGCUGUCUCCACCCGAGACUCAGUGAAAUUGAACUCGCUGUGAAGAUGCAGUGUACCCGCGGCAAGACGGAAAGACCCCGUGAACCUUUACUAUAGCUUGACACUGAACAUUGAGCCUUGAUGUGUAGGAUAGGUGGGAGGCUUUGAAGUGUGGACGCCAGUCUGCAUGGAGCCGACCUUGAAAUACCACCCUUUAAUGUUUGAUGUUCUAACGUGGACCCGUAAUCCGGGUUGCGGACAGUGUCUGGUGGGUAGUUUGACUGGGGCGGUCUCCUCCUAAAGAGUAACGGAGGAGCACGAAGGUUGGCUAAUCCUGGUCGGACAUCAGGAGGUUAGUGCAAUGGCAUAAGCCAGCUUGACUGCGAGCGUGACGGCGCGAGCAGGUGCGAAAGCAGGUCAUAGUGAUCCGGUGGUUCUGAAUGGAAGGGCCAUCGCUCAACGGAUAAAAGGUACUCCGGGGAUAACAGGCUGAUACCGCCCAAGAGUUCAUAUCGACGGCGGUGUUUGGCACCUCGAUGUCGGCUCAUCACAUCCUGGGGCUGAAGUAGGUCCCAAGGGUAUGGCUGUUCGCCAUUUAAAGUGGUACGCGAGCUGGGUUUAGAACGUCGUGAGACAGUUCGGUCCCUAUCUGCCGUGGGCGCUGGAGAACUGAGGGGGGCUGCUCCUAGUACGAGAGGACCGGAGUGGACGCAUCACUGGUGUUCGGGUUGUCAUGCCAAUGGCACUGCCCGGUAGCUAAAUGCGGAAGAGAUAAGUGCUGAAAGCAUCUAAGCACGAAACUUGCCCCGAGAUGAGUUCUCCCUGACUCCUUGAGAGUCCUGAAGGAACGUUGAAGACGACGACGUUGAUAGGCCGGGUGUGUAAGCGCAGCGAUGCGUUGAGCUAACCGGUACUAAUGAACCGUGAGGCUUAACCUUACAACGCCGAAGCUGUU
rnacentral:rRNA from 1 species